rnacentral:rRNA from 1 species
GAUGAACGCUGGCGGCGUGCCUAAUACAUGCAAGUCGAGCGAACGGACGAGAAGCUUGCUUCUCUGAUGUUAGCGGCGGACGGGUGAGUAACACGUGGAUAACCUACCUAUAAGACUGGGAUAACUUCGGGAAACCGGAGCUAAUACCGGAUAAUAUUUUGAACCGCAUGGUUCAAAAGUGAAAGACGGUCUUGCUGUCACUUAUAGAUGGAUACGCGCUGCAUUAGCUAGUUGGUAAGGUAAAGGCUUACCAAGGCAACGAUGCAUAGCCGACCUGAGAGGGUGAUCGGCCACACUGGAACUGAGACACGGUCCAGACUCCUACGGGAGGCAGCAGUAGGGAAUCUUCCGCAAUGGGCGAAAGCCUGACGGAGCAACGCCGCGUGAGUGAUGAAGGUCUUCGGAUCGUAAAACUCUGUUAUUAGGGAAGAACAUAUGUGUAAGUAACUGUGCACAUCUUGACGGUACCUAAUCAGAAAGCCACGGCUAACUACGUG